rnacentral:rRNA from 1 species
GACGUAGGGCGCGAGCGUUGUCCGGAUUUAUUGGGCGUAAAGAGCUCGUAGGCGGCUGUCGCGUCGACUGUGAAAACCCGCGGCUCAACUGCGGGCCUGCAGCCGAUACGGGCAGGCUAGAGUUCGGUAGGGGAGACUGGAAUUCCUGGUGUAGCGGUGGAAAUGACGCAGAUAUCAGGAGGAACACCGGUGGCGAAGGCGGGUCUCUGGGCCGAUACUGACGCUGAGGAGCGAAAGCGUGGGGGAGCGAACAGGAUUAGACUACCCUG